UACGGCUUAGAGCGCAACCGACGGCUCGACAAGAGAAGAAGCUGCUCUCGAUUAAUCCCCAGCAGUCGAAUCCUCUCGUUGGAGCAACGACUACCUCUCGCAAGUUGCGUCGUGUGGAAAAACUGUCCGAACCGUGUUGAAGCCAAGCGCGUUGCAGCGGGUGACGACGGGGCUCACUGCGUGUGUCACGACACAUUGUGAUUUAUCGCAAAACGGAAAAACCGGUGCUGCUGCAUUUGCAUCGGCUACGCGCGUGCGAAAGAGAGAGAGGGAGACAAUGACGGCCGAUAGGAAAAGAGAGCGAGAAAUAGGAAACCGACCAGCAACGACAUCACUGCCGUCGAGCGGCCUCAUCAUCGCCCGCCAUCUCAACCGAGGGGGAGAUGCAACGGCGAUGGUGUGCAGCCGCCACGAGAACGAGUGGGCCAGGAGGACACCACCGAGAACCUUGCACUGCCAUGGAAGAUUCGUCACCUAGUCGCUUCUUACUUCUCUCCUUCGUCUCGCUUGCGGACGAUCGCGCGAUUCUCAAGGACGGGUUACACUGAUGCAUCCGGCUCUAUGGAGGAGAAGUCACCGCUCUCGUUCUCGCCGUUCUUAAUCACGAUGCGACGCGACGCCACGCGUCUUGCACUGCCAACUUAUAACAGCACGAAAGAGAGAGAGAGAAAGGGAGAGACGCUAUUUUUCUUCCUUUUGUUUCUUUCUUUUUAUAUUCUACCAUUGACUGCGUUCAGCAGAGAAAGCUGCUUCGCAACUGUUGUAAAAUUCAUGAAUCUGAUUGGUGUGUGCUCUUAAAUUCAGCAAAGAUUAAGAGCAUACACUAAUCAGAUUUACUACAAGUUUUACAACAGUUCCAAAGCAGCUCGCUCUGCUAAACGCAGUCAUUGCAUCGUCGUGUUCCCUUUUUCUUUUGCUUUUUUUUUUCUCAACUUUUCGUUCUCUCACACGGCCAACACGCGGUUAACGCGGCCGCCGAGCCUGUCCAUCGUCGAUAAUGGACAGACCUGUCAUGUCACUACUCUCUUUCUCUGUUCGACGCUACUUUAUCGCUAUUAUCACACCGCAACCACUAGCAGCCCGCUACUUCCAGCACUGUCCGCCACCGGUCGCGAAACAUUUGCACGCGCGAACAUCGCACCGUUACCGUUAUCGCCGCACUAUCACCGCCGUCGCGACUAAUGCGGCGACCGCCGUUACCGUAUCGUUUCUCUGUUGUCUCGGCCGAGUACCGACGGUAUUAGAUCCGUCGAGCAGAGAGCGUGUGCUGGGAUCGCAGAAACGGUAUGGAGAAGCGAUUGUUCGCAGAAAGAAAGAGAGACGCCGCGCGUCCUCUUCAACGUUCGCGUCGUGCGGACAAACGUGCGGCCUGUCGACGCCGGCAAAUUCACAGACGAGAUUCAUACGUUGAGUCACGCGAAACCAUCGGCGACACUCCCCGGAAGGGGAGCCUCGUCGGCAGUUCCAUCGCGCUUGUCGCGCCAAAGACGACAGAGAAAAGGGUGUAUCCAUAUGAGUGGCAGGAGAUAUCUCUGGCGGCGAGAAUUGACGUCCUAGCGAAUGAGGCCUCGGUAAAAUAGACAUGCCAAGAUCUGAUUUUCAAUUGCGUAUUAUUUCGGGGCGACUCGACUUAGAUAGAUACAUUGGUAAUAGAUGUAACGUUAAAACUUAAGUAAUCUCGCGAAAAGAGACGCCGCGACGGCAUCCGUCGCCGGGCGUCACAUCCGACACAUGUACUCUGGGACUUUGCUCCCAGACAGAAAAAAGAUAGAAAAACAAUUGUAACUUGAUAGAAAAGGUCACUUGUAGGAAGAACUAUUGCGCGGAGAAUACUCCGCAGAUACACCCACUUGAUCUUCGAUCAAGUCCACCCGACAUUGAGACUCGAUCUAUUGGCAUUAUUCAUGUAAUACUCUGUGUAUGAAAGGAAUAUACAGUUUUCCAAAUUUUCACCCAUCUUGCGUAUUUCUUGAUUGUCGAAAAUGGCAAUUUCCACCCGAGAAAAGGAGAAGAUUGAAAGAAGCAUUCCAAUCACGACUGGAAGUUUGCUCUAUCAGCUGGGAUCCCAAUCGUUCGAUUUGCACAAGAUUAUCAGAUCCUGCUAAGUCGUGUAAAUCAGCGUGGCAAUAAAGACUUUAUUAAUAAUAGCUCUCCGUAUACAAUGCUGGAUCUGUGAGAACCGAAGAAAUAUUCAAUCGCUUACCAAUAUUUGUAAAAAUUGUAGAAUAGUGCAGAUUUGUAGAUUUUAUUGCGCUACUAGCUUAUAGCUUUUCUAUAUCCCUGCGAAAAGAAUGUUGGCCCAGAAAUAUUGAUUUCAACAAAGUUACGACAGUAAUUCAGUAUUCAAUGAAGUCAAUAUGAGAAUAUUGCCCAAAAAUUCCAAUAAAACUAUGAAACUAUGUGACACUAUAAUAAUAUGAUAAUAAUAUGAUAAUAUGAAACUAUGAUAAAGUCGCUCGCGUCUGAUAGACCCAGAUUAUGCUGCAUGUCCCAAAAACAUGAUUCUGGCAGAGGAUUAUUAAUAAUCAGGACCCAACAGGAUCUUACACAAACCAAAUAAUUGAUUGGAAUUAACCUGAUCCCAGAGCUGAUGGGACAAAUAUCUAGUCGGGGGUCGGAACGAGACGUUGUCUCGAGCACCAUUGCUCCCGUUCAGAGAUCACACGAAAGCGUCGCACAGGGGUGUGCUCGACGAGCCGCGACGUGUUCAUCUUCGUUCGGCGAGUUCACCAAUGAAACCCCUCCGCGACGUCAUCUUCGGGAGGAGGUGGUGUCGGUGCACCCCGUGCAUCGGUCGUGUUACACAUUGCUACCUUCCAGCAGGCGGUGUUGUAACGCGAACGCGCGUCUCGAGCCACGACGGUCGCGUACCUGGCAUUCCUCGCAUAGUGCAUCGGUUCGCUCGAUGCGACGCGCGCGGGCUCGUUGCGAUUCGCUCGCUCUUUCUUUCUUUCUCUCUCUCUCUCUUUCUCUCUUGUUUUCCCUCUCUCUCUCCCUCAUUCUCUCUCCUGCCCGAGCGGCGAACAUACGAGCACGCGCCGACACACGCGACAUCGCGCACAUGCACGCGUGUGCGACACACAACAGACUUGACAUGCACACCCGUGAAUCCACAUACACGCAUACACACACACACACACGCGCGCGCACGCACACACACAGACACACAUGCAAAAGCGCGUAUCCAUACCCAAACAUCGCACCCACACAUUCGCACACACGCACACGUCCCGAGACGCGCUCGUGCGCGAGCGCAUAUCUCUUCAACCCACGUAUAUGUGUACGAGUUACCGUAUUUCUCUUAAUUACCGCACGCACGAUCGAAUUAGCGCAUAAGUGAAGAACGCGUUCAUUCUAUCCCCCCCCCCCUCCCUUUGCCCCCUUAAUUAUUAUCCUAUUAUUAUCGUCCCUUACCAAUCUUAUUAUUUUUAUGGUAUAUAUUAUUGUAUUAUUAUAUUAUAAUUAUUCUAUUAUUAUUCUAUUAUUAUUAUUAUUAUUGUUUUCCAUUGUUAUACUAGUUAAGUGUUUCAGGACACUUCCUCCCGCGGCUCUCGCCGUUCCGUCGCGCCGGAUUCUCAGCGAGCGCGGAAGCGAGAACCACGCGCGGGAGGAGGGAGCCUCGCGCACACACAGAUGCGUUUUUUUUUUAAUUUUAUUUUUCUCCUUAACGAGUGGGGAGGCGAACGCGUGCACGGGGAAAGAUGUGAGUGUCGUGUAGUAGUACAAAAAAAUACAAAAUGUGUGCGAGAGACAAGCGGGACCGAAGGAGAAGCGCGAAGAAAGAGAAUAUAUAUAAAGGAUAUCUAUAUAUCUAUAUACAUAUAUAUUUAUAUAUAUAUAUGUGUGUGUAUAUAUAUAUAUAUAUAUAUAUAUAUAUAUAUAUAUAUACACACGUAUAUAUAUACAAUACAAAUAUAUAUUUUUGUACCUUUUAUUCUUCGAGGUAUAUCGACACACGGAUAAUCGAGAGACGCUCGCAGUUCACAUCGACGCGGCGCGUCCGAUCGAUCGCGAGUCGCUGUCGUAUCAUACAUCUCUCUCUUUCUCUCUCUCUGUCACAUUCUCUCUCUCCCAUCCUCUCUCUCUCGUUCUCUCGUUCUCUCCUUCUUCUUCAUGAUCCUCGUGACCUUUCUAUAUUGGAACGCAACGAUCCAUAGGCCGAUAAGAGUUCGUUACUUGAGGUCACGUUCGGAAGAGCGCGUCAAUCGUUUCUAUUAUUAAUCGUGAAUCGCCGCAAUUGUCGCCGUACGUCUGAACGUCACCCCGACUAAAGAUCCACGAUAAUGUUUGAGAGAGAACGAGAAAGAAAGAGGGAUAGUGAGAGAGUGAUGGAGGGAUAGUGAGAGAAUGAUAGAGAGAGAGAGAGAGAAAGAAACAGAAAGGGAGUCUCGAGUCACAAUUCCGAAAGCUGUCUCUUAAAUUAAUUUUUCCCCCUCCGCUCCCGUGCGAUUUGUAGGGUAUAAUGUAGCCGUUUGUUUUUCUUUUUGUCCUUUUUUUUGUAUAAGUGGUAAGAGUGCGAGAAAAAUGGAGAAUAAAAAAAAAGAAAGAAUCCGAA